rnacentral:rRNA from 1 species
AGAUUGAACGCUGGCGGCAUGCCUUACACAUGCAAGUCGAACGGUAACGCGGGGCAACCUGGCGACGAGUGGCGAACGGGUGAGUAAUACAUCGGAACGUGCCCAAUAGUGGGGGAUAGCCCGGCGAAAGCCGGAUUAAUACCGCAUACGACCUACGGGUGAAAGCAGGGGAUCGCAAGACCUUGCGCUACUGGAGCGGCCGAUGUCAGAUUAGGUAGUUGGUGGGGUAAAAGCCUACCAAGCCUACGAUCUGUAGCUGGUCUGAGAGGACGACCAGCCACACUGGGACUGAGACACGGCCCAGACUCCUACGGGAGGCAGCAGUGGGGAAUUUGGACAAUGGGCGCAAGCCUGAUCCAGCCAUGCCGCGUGCGGAAGAAGGCCUUCGGUUGUAACCGCUUUGUCGAGGAAGAACGCGUUCGGCUAAGUACCUUGGAGUAAGUAACGGUACCUGAAGAAUAAGACGACCGGCUAACUACGUGACCAGCCGAGCCGC